rnacentral:rRNA from 1 species
AGAGUUUGAUCAUGGCUCAGAUUGAACGUUGGCGGCAGGCCUAAAACAUGCAAGUCGAACGGUAACAGCGGAAGCUUGCUUCCGGCUGACGAGUGGCGGACGGGUGAGUAACACGUAGGAAUCUACCUAAUAGUGGGGGACAACCCGGGGAAACCCGGGCUAAUACCGCAUACGCUCUACGGAGGAAAGCAGGGGAUCUUCGGACCUUGCGCUAUUGGAGGAGCCUGCGUCGGAUUAGCUAGUUGGUGGGGUAAAGGCCUACCAAGGCGACGAUCCGUAGCUGAUCUGAGAGGACGAUCAGCCACACUGGAACUGAGACACGGUCCAGACUCCUACGGGAGGCAGCAGUUAGGAAUCUUGGGCAAUGGGCGCAAGCCUGACCCAGCCAUGCCGCGUGUGUGAAGAAGGCCUUCGGGUUGUAAAGCACUUUCAGCGGUGAAGAAAAGCUCAGGGCUAAUACCCUUGAGUCUUGACGUUAACCACAGAAGAAGCACCGGCUAACUCCGUGCCAGCAGCCGCGGUAAUACGGAGGGUGCGAACGUUAAUCGGAAUCACUGGGCGUAAAGCGCGCGUAGGCGGUCUGUUAAGUGGGAUGUGAAAUCCCCGGGCUUAACCUGGGAAUUGCAUUUCAAACUGGCCGACUAGAGUACGGUAGAGGGAGGUAGAAUUUCCUGUGUAGCGGUGAAAUGCGUAGAUAUAGGAAGGAAUACCAGUGGCGAAGGCGGCCUCCUGGAUCGAUACUGACGCUGAGGCGCGAAAGCGUGGGGAGCAAACAGGAUUAGAUACCCUAGUAGUCC